GAAAAGUUUGCAUGGAGACGGAAUUCCUAGCCUGAACGCAAGACACGUGUGGCAUGUGACUCAUCGGGCAGGUAAAGUCAGUGGGGUACCUCGACAAGCGCGAAAGUAUUAUGAUUAUGUAGUGAAGUAGUUACUGGGUGGUGAAAAAAAAGGUUGAAGAGUAAGACGAAGAGAAGAAAGAGAGAAAGAUAGAAUUCUUGGUGUAAACCCAUGAGUCAUCAAAUCGCCAUCCCUUGUAAUCUACCUGUUGGCACCUGUUGCGUUUGACCUCUUUGCGCAAACGCUUAACGCUCAUACUUUGUCAAUCUCGUUUCAUUUAAUGUAUACAUUUGAAAACCCACCGGGCAGUGGGCGGAUUGUCGACCUUGGCUCUUACAAGCUGUCGUGACUCAGAGCGAUGUGUUUUAUAUUAUUUUUUUUUUUCAAUAUAUCAUAAUCAAAUAGUAAAGACGUCUUUCCGAUUUUCCGAGUAAUAGAGCGGUAUAUAUCAGUUCUACUUAUUAGUUAUUUUGAAUGAAUCAUCAGCAGCAGAAUACUAUAAGUCGGAACGAGGAGCUAGCCUUGUUUGGAAUUUCCAGCAGAGCUGGACAAAGGAAUAGAAAGAAAUCCGAGGGUCACCGAAUUUUCAUUCAAGCGUAAAAGCAACCGGGCUGGCAUAAAAACGAUAUUUUUCCCUCGUCACAGCCUUGUUUAUUCAACGGAUAAAAUCUUAAGUGAAAAAAAUAUUAGAUAGUUAAUUAUGUAAGACGUCGAUAAUGUAAAUGUCGAGAAUAGACAUGCCAUGAAAAUCAAAAUAGUAAAUUGCAAGUAAUGGUUUAUUCAUCGGAAUAAAGACUGAUAUUUUUCAAAAGUUA
rnacentral:lncRNA from 1 species